GCUGGAUAAGAAUAUGGACUCACACAAACCGGUAGAACAGUCAAACAAUAUUCAAUUUCUUCAUCAGUUUCCAAAAUAGCCAGACUACCCAAGCUUUCUGGCGAUAACGACUUCUGAAAAUGUCUUGCAGUUUACUUUGUAUGAUUUCAACGAUCCCCAGGAUUCGAUGUUGUCGUUGACGAAGAUUUCAAAAUGACGCGGAUUCUUCGUUCGAGUAAACAGAUUACCGUCUGUAAUCGUACGAAUGCUCAGCUUUCUCAUGAUAAUUUGAAAAAUGACGCGGAGAUUGGUUCGGAUCGAUUUGCUCUCGAAUCAGUGCUCUCCAUGGAAAAUCUUUGCGUUUCAAGGCUUCGACGAUUUCCCGAGUUACAUGGCCGCAUACUGGAUAAAAUAAUCUUAUGUUCGUUUUGGAAGAUGCUUCGGUAAGCAAAAACUUCAGCUUCGAACCUGAAUCAUGUUCUACGAUGAUCAUUUUGACGUUGGCUGAAUCACCGAGAUUUCCAUGGAGGGAAAUGAAGCAGCAGCUAAAAUGGAGAUUUGUAUAUUGAGACAAAGAUCCAAAGUUGCGUAGUACAAUUUUUAGUUGGACCUUAGCGGAGUUCAAAAAAUUCCUUCAUUAGUAUGAAUGGAAUGUUUGUCUCAAAUUCCACUCGAACCUACUCUGGAUUGUGAUCAACUAUCUCUCCUUUCUCUGGAUUUGAUGCACCUGACGUGA